rnacentral:rRNA from 1 species
GAUUAAGUGUUAUAAGGGCAUUUAGUGGAUGCCUAGGCAUGCACAGGCGAUGAAGGACGUGAUACGCUGCGAAAAGCCGUGGGGAGCUGCGAAUAAGCUUUGAUCCAUGGAUCUCCGAAUGGGGCAACCCACCUUAAAUGCUUAGAAAAUCCAAACUGCUGCAUAGCAGCUUGGGUUUCUAAGCAUUGUGAUAAGGUAUCUACACCUGAAUAAAAUAGGGUGUAAGAAGCGAACGCAGGGAACUGAAACAUCUAAGUACCUGCAGGAAAGGACAUCAACCGAGACUCCG